rnacentral:lncRNA from 1 species
CCACAUGGUAAAAAUGUUGCAAGUAGUUUAUAUCCACAUCCCUCAGCUUUAGCCCUCCUGGAAAAGGCCAUGUUCACUUGUCACACAUCCCUAAGUUAUAUCUGAACUCCUUGAAUUUCUUUAAGUCCCAAAACCUCAAUAUGCUAAAUGCAGUUUACAAGGGUGGAUAGUGAUAAGACAAGGGGGAAUGGUUUUAAACUGAGACAGGGGAGGUUUAGGUUGGAUAUUAGGAAGACGUUUUUCACACAGAGGGUGGUGAGGCACUGGAGCAGGUUGCCCAAGG